rnacentral:rRNA from 1 species
ACGCACGCUGGCGGCGUGCUUAACCCAUGCCAGUCGAACGGAAAGGCCCUGCUUUUGUGGGGUGCUCGAGUGGCGAACGGGUGAGUAACACGUGAGUAACCUGCCCUUGACUUUGGGAUAACUUCAGGAAACUGGGGCUAAUACCGGAUAGGAGCUCCUGCUGCAUGGUGGGGGUUGGAAAGUUUCGGCGGUUGGGGAUGGACUCGCGGCUUAUCAGCUUGUUGGUGGGGUAGUGGCUUACCAAGGCUUUGACGGGUAGCCGGCCUGAGAGGGUGACCGGCCACAUUGGGACUGAGAUACGGCCCAGACUCCUACGGGAGGCAGCAGUGGGGAAUAUUGCACAAUGGGCGGAAGCCUGAUGCAGCAACGCCGCGUGCGGGAUGACGGCCUUCGGGAUGUAAACCGCUUUCGCCUGUGACGAAGCGUGAGUGACGGUAAUGGGUAAAGAAGCACCGGCUAACUACGUG